rnacentral:lncRNA from 1 species
AAAUAGUGGGUGGUGCUAUUUUGAUUUAAAGACCCGAAUCAAAUGGCUUAAAAUCAAUCAAUUUAUAUUCAUUAUGUAUUUGUUUACCAAUUAUAUUUGCAAACGCUAUCCAAACUUGACAAAACCGAAUGUUUUAGUUUCCGGACUUAGGUACCACAAUCCCAAAGAAUGUCUUAAAAGGAUUGCAUAUGUAUCUAAGUAGUCUCAUCCUCACAAUCUUCCUAUUGAUAAUGUAUCAUUAGGAAGAAUAUGUUAGAAAAGGUCUAUCAUAAAGAGGACAACACUUUUAAUGUCAUAAUUCCUUCAAUUACAAUUUGUUGUAUGAAGAAAUAGGAGUUGCUUUGAACAACUCUUAGUCAAUGCAAACACUUAGUACUUGUUUCUUUGUUAAAUGAACAAAGAACUUGAGAAGAAAGCACAAAGGCAUGAACACUUAAAUGUGCCAUGAUUCUUCAUUUACAAAUUGUUGUAUGAAGAAAUGAGAGUUGCCUUGUACAACUCUUGAAGGUUUGUAAUUAUGUUUAGAACAUAAUGGUUGGUUGACAAAAAUAGUCCAUUAACAUGGACUUAUGAUGAUUUUGAAUCAUUGAAUGUUGAAGUGAUAAACCACUUAAACGAGACGGAAAACUAGGCAAGGACUUCACCUUUGUUUCCCUAUCCUAAUCGUUCACUAAGUUUAUUGUAAACUAUAUAGUGAACAAUAACCACAUACUCUCCAAAAUGUUUGAUGUGUAUAACACAAUUGAAAAAGGUUUUCAAGAGAGAUAGUGGGAGUUUAGGGACCAUGACUAAUGUAGUCAAAGGUGAAAAGUCAAAUAAAGAAGAUAAAUAACUCCAAGGGAACAAACUUUCUUUAUGAAAGGAUGGAUAUUGGAAGGGGUAUUUGCAAGAAAUGUCUUGCAAGUGUCAAGGACACACCUUUCGAAGGUGUUGUAAAUUGUUCUUGAAUAGUUCAAAACAGUUGGUUCUUCUACUUGAAUGCAUGAUUCUGUAUUAGUGACUAUGUUUUACAAUCGUUGUAAAAGUGUGGCUAAUAAGAAGUAGAAGAUAAAUGAGAGAAGAGAAAGUACUUCACAUUCGAAACGUGAAUCAAAUGUAGAUCUCUGCGAAAGCAGAUGGUACUUACUUCCUCAUAUGAACUACCAAAGAAAAUUGGAAAAAACAUAGAUUGUCUUUGUAUUCCAAUUUUAAGGAACUAAAUUCAGUCACUAUGUGAAAUGGAUAAAUGUUUUGUUUGACAAAACAAUGUUCUUUAUUAAUCAAUGAUUGGAUUAUGGUAAUCUAAUUAAUUAUCUCUAUAGUAGAGAUAAUAUGGUGGUGUUAACUGUUUAGAAAAAUAAUGAUGCUUAAAACCCAAAAGGUUGCAAGGUAGUGACUAAUCCCAACUAAAAGUUGUGAUACCUCUAAAACAUAAGUUAUGAGUUGGUGAAAGAUGGAUGCUUUGGAUCGUUAGAUCCGGAUCCAAUACCUUCUUGUUAAAAUUGUAUAGAGGCAAAAUGUUUGAAUCUUUAUUCUUUUGGAAAGAAGAAAGAAUCACAAAGUUGUGUUGAGAUUAAUUCACUUAAAUGUUAGUGGCACUUGUCCACAAACAUAAUAUUACUCAUGUUGAAUUACAUUCACCGAAGAUCAGUCUCGGUUGGACUAUAGUUUAUUUUGAAUAAACACAAGUCCGAAUACUUUGCAAAAUGUUUCAA